rnacentral:misc_RNA from 1 species
GUUUCUUCAUCAAGCUUUCUUGUAUUGAGAGAUGUGUUGCUAGAAGCAGCCUUGUUUGUUCCAGCAGCAGAUUUCCUGACGGUCUCGAUCUCGGCGCCGCUGCGGCGGGCGGCGUUGACGGCCUUCUCGUCCUUCUUGGCGGCGGAGUUGGGGACCUUCUUGCGGAUCACCACCGGCUCCCAGUCCUGCGACAACGGUCCGAUUCCGGCCAUCUCUGGAGGGUUGAAUGAGGCGGAUUUAGGGUUAGGGUUUCGAGAGGAUGAGGGCGAU